rnacentral:lncRNA from 1 species
UUUUUUCCUUGUAAGUCUAUCCAGAAUUAUUUAACUGAAGAUCAUGUUUUUCUUACUGGACUGCAGGGUCAUUGAACUGUGUAUUUUACAUUUGAAUGACUCCCGUCAAGCUCUUUCUGUCCUCAGAUGAUCUGGUUUAGAAAGCGUAACAUUUAUUCUACAAACAGAGUUUAGCUAAGGGAAGUUUUGUACUUCCCUUAGCCAAAUUAUGUGGAUGUAAUUCUGAUAGGCUAUAAAACCAAC